UUUGAAUAUUCAACAUUCUUUAUUGUAAUCUUUUUAAACUGAUUGAAAGAAAGUCAUGUGAAUACGAUAAUACAGUGAAUUCUUUUGUUUCAUGUCAUAACUUGGUUCGGCAAUUGGUGGAUUGCAAGCGGGGAAGAAAAUGGCGCGGGAUGAGCCGUAGCCGUGUAAAGUGACGACAUCAUGGCAGCGCGUUGUAUACCAGCCGGACUUGCUGCGCUGGUGCUGUUGAAGACCUAAACCAUGUCACAAGACCAGUGGUUGAUCUUUUAUCGGAAAUUCUUAUAAGUCCCGGUGAGUCGUAUCUGUUUUACCUGAUUUGAAAGAUGGGAAGUUUUAAUAGGAUACAAACGAAUAUAGUGCAGAAAGUUCUCUUUUGUUAACUUUAGUUAAAUUAGAAAUCGUAAUGAAGUGAAGUAAACAUUGCGAAGUAAAAUGAUUUGGAUUAUGAUUAAGUGAAAUAGACUUGAAAAAAAUGCCUCGAAGCGAAUUGCCUUCUGAGUUAAAUCUUACUGAUUUAGAGAGUGAAUAAGAUGUUACACGGCACACAUACUUUGGUAUUGUUAUUUUCUCUUUUGUUGUUGUGCUGCAUUUCCAGCGUAGUCGUAACUGCAGUCCCGUUAGAGGCUGUUCAGGGCGCGGUGUGCGACUGGAGGUGUGGUGAUUGUUUAGGUCCAUGGGGACCUGGUUUUAGUGGUAUAUGAUUACCUUGUUGAGUUGACCAAUGAUGGUCUGUUAUGAAAGUGGCAAAUGGUUGCCAAUGUUGACUUAUAACCGAGUAUUUAUGUGCCCUUGUAUGUGUGUGUAUAAUGAACAGUCUAAGAUACUUUUGUUUUUUUUUAUCAUUAGUUGUUGAUUGAGGCAUUCUUUCAAAUUGUUUACUCUGUGUGGUGAUGCACUCUGGAAAUCCACUUGAUGGAUAUGCGUACUGAAGUCUUAUGUAGAGUCACAAGUAGAGCUCAUGUAGAGUCACAAGUAGAGCUCAUGUAGAGUCACAAGUAGAGCUCAUGUAGAGUCACAAGUAGAGCUCAUGUAGAGUCACAAGUAGAGCUCAUGUAGAGUCACAAGUAGAGCUCAUGUAGAGUCACAAGUAGAGCUCAUGUAGAGUCACAAGUAGAGCUCAUGUAGAGUCACAAGUAGAGCUCAUGUAGAGUCACAAGUAGAGCUCAUGUAGAGUCACAAAUAGAGCUCGGACGAGUCCUUUAUAGAGUCUCAUGUCAGGUCAGGAAUGACCGAGCGAACUUGGAUACUGUGCUGUGGUAUAUUGUUUCAGAUUAACACACGAGGACGUGUGUCACGCAGGAUGGCCGUGUCGGAGUUGGUUAUGAAUAAAGAAGAGAAAUUGAUCAAAUCGGAAAAUAAAAUGAAGUUACAUCACUUCCGUCAUGAAGUUGCAUCGCUCCGACGGCAGGUGGCGUACGGCCAGAUCUGAGUGAAGUCGACGGAGUCACUACAGAGUCGUCGUGUCGAGCGGACGUGCACUGCCGUUCUAGUCGGGCAGUCUACCGCGAACCAUCGUCAUGAGCGGACGUGUCGAAUAAUUACGAGGAGUGCUAUAGUCGCUCACCUAUAACUUGUAGGGACGUCAAGAAAGUGUGAUCGGAAAAGAGUACCUAGCAAGUACGUUCACAUGUCCCGAUGAUUCGGUCCGAAUAUAGGAACCAUGGGUGGUGGAGGGCAAGUAGAGGGCGAGUAGCCCCUUCGCGCUAACGUCCUUAUGCGCGCUAGAUAACGAGAGACUGUGUAACCAUUACGAAUACCGUGACGUUGCCGUGAGUGUGUAUCUUAUUUUGUGACUUUAUCUAAUCGUGAUACAAGAACUAUGUGGAAGUAAAUAAAAUGAUUGUGAUACUAUU
rnacentral:lncRNA from 1 species